UUCCUCUGCCAGCCAAUCUGUCAUUCCGACUCGUGGCGCGAAAAUUCUGCAAUGAACCGAGACGGAUCCAUAUGGCGCGCGAGCGCAAGGCUGCUCUCGAAGCAGCCUCUGUGCUACUACCAGGCGCCCCAACCCAAGCUCCUCCCCGCCGCUCGAAGGCAUCGCGCAGAUCAACCAUGGCAGCUGGCCUGCGCGGGGGGCAGAGUGCUCGACUCCCGCAAGGUGCUCGUCGAAACGCGCCAAUAGGGCUCGCGCGCCUGUUGCCGCCGCACCGUACCAGCGACGGCGGCGACAGCCCGCCUCGGCCGCCGGGUGCCUCAGAAAAUCAUGUCGUUUGCGGUGAACAUGCUCGUUAUCUUGGUUCCUGCAGAUAGCCUUCCUACUUUCUGCUUCUUCUCCCUCAACCAUAUCUAUCAUAAAUUCAGAAGCAGAAUCGGGAUUGGUGAAUCCUUGAUAGUGUGAUCUAAGAUACCACAGGUGACUUUCUAUGUCAUGUAACAAGAUCUCACAAGCAGAAUAUCUAAUGUCAUUUUCACCAAGGGCAGCCAGCUCGCUUCCGAGCCAUGCAGCGCAUACGAGGCAAUCAUGCAAGAAUCAUGCCAGUCAAUAUUCCUGAUUGUGUUUCUAUGAGAUGUUGAUGUGAGACCUGCUUUCUUUGCAAGCCAUGCAGCAGUAUAUGAUUCUCCUGACCAGGAAUAAGUCCCUCC